GACAGAGGGUGCAAACGUUGUUCGGAAUUACUGGGCGUAAAGCGCACGUAGGCGGCUUUGUAAGUUAGAGGUGAAAGCCUGGAGCUCAACUCCAGAAUUGCCUUUAAGACUGCAUCGCUUGAAUCCGAGAGAGGUAAGUGGAAUUCCGAGUGUAGAGGUGAAAUUCGUAGAUAUUCGGAAGAACACCAGUGGCGAAGGCGGCUCACUGGCUCGGUAUUGACGCUGAGGUGCGAAAGCGUGGGGAGCAAACAGG
rnacentral:rRNA from 1 species